rnacentral:rRNA from 1 species
UUCGAUUCUGGCUCAGAUUGAACGCUGGCAGGAUGCCUUACAUGCAAGUCGAACGGCUUGGCACGGACUUCGGUCUGGUGGCGAGUGGCGAACGGGUGAGUAAUGUAUCGGAACGUGCCUAGUAGCGGGGGAUAACUGCGCGUAGUAAUAACACCGCAUACGCCCUUCGGGGAAAGCGGGGGACCUUCGGGCCUCGCGCACUAUUAGAGCGGCCGAUAUCGGAUUAGCUAGUUGGUGGGGUAACGGCUCACCAAGGCGACGAUCCGUAGCUGGUUUGAGAGGACGACCAGCCACUGGGACUGAGACACGGCCCAGACUCCUACGGGAGGCAGCAGUGGGGAAUUUUGGACAAUGGGGGAAACCCUGAUCCAGCCAUCCCGCGUGUGCGAUGAAGGCCUUCCGGGUUGUAAAGCACUUUUGGCAGGAAAGAAACGUCGUGGGUUAAUACCCCGCGAAACUGACAGUACCUGCAGAAUAAGCACCGGCUAACUACGUGCAACAUACCCGGUAAUACGUAGGGUGCAAGCGUUAAUCGGAAUUACUGGGCGUAAAGCGUGCGCAGGCGGUUCGAAGAAAGAUGUGAAAUCCCAGAGCUUAGCUGCUUUGGAACUGCAUUUUUAACUACCGGGCUAGAGUGUGUCAGAGGAAGUGGAAUUCCGCGUGUAGCAGUGAAAUGCGUAGAUAUGCCUGGAGGAACCUACCGAUGGCGAAGAAGCUCGCUCCUGGGAUAACACUGACGCUCAUGCGAAAAAGCGUAGAACAAACAGGAUUAGAUACCCUGGUAGUCCACGCCUAACGAUAUCAACUUCGCUGUUGGGGCCUUCGGAGCCGCUGGCCGCGCAACUAACGCGUGAAGUUGACCGCCUGGGGAAAUACGGUCGCAAGAUUAAAACUCAAGGAAUUGACGGGGACCCGCGGCGGUGGAUGAUGGAUCCAUUCGAUGCAACGCGAAAAGUACCUACCCUUGAGCAUGUCUGGAAUGCCAGAGAUUUGGCAGUGCCUCGCAGAGAACCGGAACACAAGUGCUGCAUGGCUGUCGUCAGCUCGUGUCGUGAGAUGUUGGGUUAAGUCCUGCUGCGGCGCAACCCUUGCCGUGUUAGUUGCUACGAAAGGGCACUCUAAUGAGACUGCCGGUGACAAACCGGAGGAAGAGAGUGGGGAUGACGUCAAGUCCUCAUGGCCCUUAUGGUGGGCUUCGUCAUACAAUGGUCGGGACAGAGGUCGCCAACCCGCGAGGGGGAGCCAAUCCCAGAAGCCCGAUCGUAGUCCGGAUCGCAGUCUGCAACUCGACUGCGUGAAGUCGGGAGAUCGCUAAGUAAUCCGCGGAUCAGCAUGUCGCGGUGAAUACGUUCCCGGGUCUGUGCACGCUUACCGUCACACCGCGGGAGUGGUUUUACCAGAAGUAGUUAGCCUAACCGCAAGGGGCGAUUACCACGGUAGGAUUCAUGACUGAGGUGAAGUCGUAACAAAGGCAG